rnacentral:lncRNA from 1 species
AAAACACCCAAGGUAACAUCUUUCACUAGUGUUUACAACAUCAUUUGGUGUUGGUGUUGAUGUUUAUCUUCUGUUUGCCUAUCCUUCAUUAUCAUUUUAUGGCUCAUGCCUGCCAGAAAGACUGUAAAUUCCUUUAAAACUGGGGCUGGGUUAUUUUGUAACCUCCACAGCACUAGUGAGUUCCCUGCACAUACCAGGGGUAAAGAGUUAGUAGACCUGUUCUGUUCAUUGGCUCAUCUGUGGUAGCUUCAGCAAAUCACUUUAUUCAAAGCGUCAGUUCGCCUCCAGUUGCAUGAUCUACUGGGUCUUAGGCCAACUAAUGACAGAGAACACUUUGCAAAGACAAAAUUUCAAGGUGAUACUCAAGUUACCAACAUGUUAUGCAUUCUUUAUUUUGUAGCUCUUUCUUUGUGAGUGACCAGUUGAAUAAUAAGCUUCUCAUACCCUCAGAAACUGAAUCUUUUAAUAUGCAUAUAAAACAUACAUUCAAGGCAGCAGGCCAAGGAGUGUCUUCUUGCUGCACUUGGCACGCAGAUCUGCAAUUAAAUACUGUUUUUGAAUAACAGAUGACAUUCUAAGCAGAUAGCUGCCAAGACAUACCAUUUGGACCUUGUUCUAAUUAAUUCCUUGCAAAUGAUAAAUUUUCUGUUCUUUGCCCUUCUGCCUACAUUUUCUCCUCCUUUGCGAAGCUUCAUCUGACAGUGAAGAUGAAACAAAUCAUGAUGGUAUUUAUUCUGCUUGUGUUGCAGCAUUUAGAAAUUUGUAGCUC